UGGCUGAAGAGGCAAGGGGGGUAGGAAGAGGGGGAUGCCUCGCGUGCGAGGACGCACGCGCGGAGUGGCCGUUGGUCGUUGCGAGGAGGCUGGUGGCCGUUGGUGCUUCGCUGGUGCCGCCUCCCCCCUCCUCCGUCCCUUCAGCUGAUGUUGGUGGCUUAGGGGGCCAUGCGGAGACGGCUUCGGAAGCGGGCCGUGAGGGCCACUGCUGCCGCCUCCUGGCACCUGCCUCCGGCUCCCUUCCCUUCGUCAAGCCCUGACCGCAACCCCCCUCGCCCCUGCCAGCCCUGAGGAGGGCCCCGGCACCCACCGUGUCGGUGGGAGGCGGAGAGUGAGCGCCGCCGCCGCCGCCGCCUCCUCGCCCGUUCGCUCCGCUGCCGUCCUCAAUGUCUCCCCCGCCGCGGGGAGCCCACCCCAUCCUCGCCCCGUCGGCCCACUGCAGCCCCCCGGCCGCCUGGCCUCGGCCUCCCCUUCUCCAAGAGCGGCGGCGCAGCCGGACCCGACUCCCCGCGAAGCGGCCUGGCAGCCACGGAGCGCAGCAGGCCGCGGCGGAGAUGAAGGCAGAGGCGGGAGACAGUAUGAUCAACCUGUCGGUCCAGCAGGUGCUGAGUCUGUUUGCACACGGCGCCUCGCUCCGGCACCUCACAGAAAUGUGGUACUGGGUUUUCCUAUGGGCUCUCUUCUCCUCUCUCUUUGUCCACGGUGCUGCAGGAGUUUUGAUGUUUGUUAUGCUGCAGAGGCAUAGACAAGGGAGAGUAAUCUCUGUCAUUGUGGUCAGCAUCGGAUUUCUGGGUUCUGUAACUGGAGCUAUGAUAACUAGUGCAGCAGUAGCUGGAAUUUACAGAGUAGCUGGGAAAAGCAUGGCUCCCUUAGAAGCACUGGUGUUUGGAGUUGGACAGACAGUACUGACACUAAUUAUUUCCUUUUCAAGGAUUCUUGCUACACUUUGAAUCUUCUGUGAAAACUUUGUUUAUAAAAAGGAAACCGUCUGUGACAGAUCUUCCCAGAAGUGAUUUUAGAAGCUGAUGGAUUGCAAAGAAAAAUACUUGGUAUGUGAAGUGAACUGCAAAGCAAGAGGUCCCAUCCAUUUGGAAAGGACUUCCUUUAGAGUCCAAAAAUGACUCGCUACUGCAUUGCACCUAAUGUGCCUCUGUCACAGGCAAGGUGUGUUCAGUUUAGGUGAAGCUGCAAGAUAAAAGCACCUUGUGAAGCUGCUAAUCAGGCAAAUGGCUUCCAUAUUGCAAGGACCUGUGUAUCUGUGUAAAUGGAGCUGCUGCUUUGCUGUGAACUUGCGGAGCUUUGCCUGCCAUAACCACUAAUGGAAGCUCCACAUUGACCUAAGGCUCUGAGUUAAGGCCUCAGGGGUUUGCGGAUUGGAUUAACAUUGAGAUAGUCAAAGGAACAAUUGUAUCAGGUAAUUUUCUUAAAUACCAAGGUACAUUAUAAAUAAACAUGCAGUGGUAUGAAGUGAUAUUUAAUUUAUAGUGCCUUGAGUAUAUAGAAGGUGUUUUCUAGCUCACUAUCCACUAACUGUUGUUGUGUCUUCUGUCAUUAGAUUCACUGUUGGACAAUGUGGUAGUGGUGUUAAUGUUAAAAAUAGAAAAGUUAAAAUUUGGCAUAUUUAUUCUAGUACUACCCAAAUCAAGUCAAUAUUCUUCUUAGCAAGAUUAAGCGCUGUCUGUCUACAGGGUUUUAUAGUUAAAAAAAUUGCAUCCUGCUUUCCAUAUUUUAGUCAGUAUCAGGACAUACUGUUUGCAACACUGCUGUGAAUGGUAUAUGUGAAGUAGUUUUAUGUCUAGUGUUACGUAGUAAUUUAAUGCUACAAUCAAGUGAGCACUUCUCAGGCCCCAUUACUGAAGAUAAAGACUGUAAAUUUCUGUUGACUUUAGGGCUAUAUAUAGAAAUGUGUUUUUAUGUCUGAGACUCUAAUACUUCCUCUGUGUCUGGCAAAGUUCUAAUGGUUUUCACAUGAAAGAAGUCUCAUCAAUAUUGCUAUGCUGGGAAUAAUUUUUAGUCAAGGUGUAUACAUUAAAAUAUCGCAGUAUAUUUGUUUGGUACCAACAGUAUAACAGGUUCUGAGCAUGGCCAUCUUUUUAAAAAUGAAAAAUGUAUCUUUCCACAUGAACUUAGCAAAAUUGCAACAAAAGGAAACUAUCACAGAUCAUGUCAAGGUAACAUUCAAUUAUAGAGAUAUUUUUAGGAUAAAUCAAUAUAUUUGAUUACUUUUCACUUCCUAUAAAAGUUGGUAAGGAAAAAUAUUCUAUUACAGACAUUGUUCUUUAAUGGUUGUUAAAGUAUAUGCUGGAAAAAUGAGCACCAGUAGAGAAGUCAUCUCUGACCUUAUGUCUUUCAAUGGGAUACAUCAAAUUUGUAUUAUUCAUUACAUUUUAAAACUUAUUUCUGUAAUUAAACAGGAAUGAAGUAACUGAUGUAAUGUGUUCCUAACAGCAAUAUCUUUCUAUAUUUAGUCUUAAAGUAUGUAAGAGGGUAAUUUUGACAGGCGGUUCUUCCUCUGCCAAAAGUGAUUACUUUCACAGUACAAGUCUUGUACUAUAGUAGUGUGCUUUGUGUCAGGGUGGAGUGUCCAUUGUAUGAAUGGGAUUUUAGCUGCUAAAAGAAAUAGAGAUUAGUAUACUAAUGUAGUCUGAGAAAAUGAUUGCACGUGCUGCUCAAGUGGUGGUCUUCACUUACCCUUAAAGAAUUCUCUAUAAAAUUUAUGCAGUACCAAUGUCUGACCACUAGCCUGAAUUACCGGGAACUAUUUUGAGACAGAUCAAAAUUUCACACUAUUCCAGACACAGUCUUUUAGAUGAUCUUCAAUUUUCCUUUAAAAAAAAAAAAACCUUGGGCUUCAAGAAAAAAAUCACUAAAAUGCUUAGCUUAGAUCUAGGCAUUUUCACUUAUCUGUUCAGAGCCACAAAUAGCAUAAAUUUGGUUUUUGUUUAUGAAUACAUGGACCAAAGAGGUGGUUAGUAUGUAUUGUAUUUAUCUGUAAUAUAACAGCCUAAAUAUAUUUUUCCUUGAAUAAAUCUGAGGAAAGCAGAAGUGUUUCCUCAUCUGUUUUGCACUUUGCUAUAUUUUGUUUUAGUAUGAUGAACUUCUUUCUACUUGAAGCUUGCAUAUUUUUGUUGUAUUGUAGUAAUACCAAGCAAUCAGCUUUUGGUAUGAUUAAACUGAUUUUUAAUAUUAGUUAUGUUUGAAAUUUAUUACCCAUUUUCAUGGAUAACUCCCUUUACCAUGUCUUUGUCCCAAAUACAUUUAAGUUUAAUAUUUUAUUAAGUUACUUCUUUCGUGCAUGUCAUAAUCCAAUGUCUUGCAUAAUUGCACACAGUGAUAAAAUAGAGAAACUUGGACCCUGAUUCAUUAAAUAUUUUCGUUGUAUUACUGCCCCUCCAAGCCUCAUGCUUGUGGUCAAAGUUGGAGUGGGAAAGAAAGAAAGAAAGAAAUCUGAAAAGCUCCAGUUUCGCAUAAUUUUCUGUGUGGGUUUAACUAUUUUGCCUCUCUCAGAUAUUUUUCUGUAGUUGUGUUUAAUAACAAAAUUAAUACAUAUGAAUUGAUUAAAAAAAAACAGAUAUAUAAACCAUGUAGUGAUUUUCAAACUGGUCUUUAGUCAAGUCUCCAGGUAUAACUUUAGAAACUGAAUGGUGCAGGUGCAUUCAUAGAGGCCACUAUUUUGGAAAAUGACUUUUUAUGUGGACUCUGUCAAUAUAUGUAUUCCAUUCCACUGACCUGUGUGAAAUAAGUAGAACAAGAAAAGAGGUAGCAAUCAGAAAAUGUGGGAAGGUCCUCAUUUUCCUCUGCCUGAAGAUCAAAGUAUUGGGAUAAUACCUCAACAAUUUCCUAACUGCAAAUCAUUCUCUUUAUUCUGGACAAGUCACAUGAACACUUUCUAUUGAUUAUUCCUUUGGCUGCAUUUAAAGUCUGUAGUGGCCACGCAAAAAACCAUGGAAUGGGAUUUGACUGGUGCAGCUGAAAUGAAACUUCAUGUUCAUAUAGAAUUAAUACAGACAGAAACUUGAAGUCAGGAAGGAUGCAAUUUUGAUUCCCCCCCCCCCCAUAGAAAUAGGUAAUGCGGUAGGCUAUAGGUAAUGUGGAAGACAUUUUAGAUCAGCAUAUAUUUUCAUCAACAUAAAGCUUUCUUCUCUAUAUUGUACACAUUUCAUUGCAAGUACAUGGAACAUGUCACAGUUCCUUGUUUCUUAUGAAACUCUGUUUUCAUAUCCCUAAAUUCAUGCAUCAGUUUUAGUAGCAUCACAGUUCCUUCCAUGAAUCAAAAGAGUGGGAAACACCAUUCUAAAUGACUAAAGUUUGUCAGGUGCAGAGUAAUCGUGGGAAAUUGCUUUGAAGUACAGCCUGUGGAACUGUUGUGUGGAGGCUAUUUUAAAUGCCUCACCAUGGCAUCUACCUCCAUGCAGUAAGCUAUUUGUAUGCAAUGGCUAAAUUUAGAGAUUGGAAACUGUUUCUGCAUAAGCAUAGCCAUUCAAAAAAAAUGCAGUGGUAUACAGAAAAUACCGUGAUUCACAUAGUAAGCAGUUGACUCAGUGAUUCAAUAAUGGAGAACUGCUUAUAUGUGCAACAGUGCACAGUGGCUUAUCCUAAAAGCCAGGGAGAGACUUGAAAGCUUUUGCUUCCAAUUAUCUGUAUAGAUUUCAUUCCCCACUAAUUUUGAAUGAAAAGCAGUAAGGUUAGGUGAUAUGAUAAAAAAAUAUAAGUAUUACCUGAUUUAGGUAAUACUGUCCAACAUUUUCAUUUACAAAUUUAUAAUAUGGCUAUCAUUCUGGAAUUGGGUACAGGAUUGUAUGUUGUCAAAAACGAAUUAGUGUUUUGAAUUUGCAACAUACUUAAAUACACUUUGAGGUCUUCUGCUGCCUGGGAUAUUUUUCAUUUCAUAUACAGUAGUUUAAAUGCGCUGUGUUUAAAAAAAUUUUGUUGUUGGGAUGCCCUUUAGGACUGCAACCAAGCACACUUACUUGAAACCAUGUUUCAUUUUAAGGGGUCUCCUGCUCCCUGGGAUAUUUUUCAUUUCAUAUAUACUAGCUUUAAAUGCAUUGUUUUUAAAAAGUGUUUUUUUUUAGUUGAGGGGCUCUUUAGGACUGCAACCAAGCACUCUUAUUUGAAACUGUGUUCUAUUUGGGGGGGGGGGGGGAGAUUCCCCAUAAUCUUUCCAGUCCAGGCCCUGGGUAUGUUUUCAAGGCAUGCUCCAGUUUAGAAGAAAUAUGCUCGCAGAUUGGUUGCCUCAGUUGUGGCCUCCUUGGGAGAUGGUGGGCUCUCCUUUGGAGUUUUUAAAGCAGAGGCUAGACUGCCAUCUGAUGGCAAUGCUUAUUCUGUGAACCUAGGCAGAUCAUGAGAGGGAGGGCAAGAAGGUUUAUAUCAGUGCUUAGUUCUUAUAACCCUUUCUUACAUGCCCUGGGUCAGGCCGAUCACCACCUUGGGGUAGGGUAGCAGUUUUCCCCAGGCCAGUUUGGCUAGGGAUCCUGACGAUGUUUUGCCAUCUUCUGAGCAUGGAGUAAAGGGUGUAUGUGGGGGGGGAGGUAUUUGUGAAUGUCCUACAUUGUGCAGAGGAUUGGACUAGAUGACCUUAGAGAUCCCUUCGAACCCUACGAUUCUAUGACUCUCUGAUCUCUUGUGGAUAUAGGAAAAUCAUGGCCACCAGAACCCACUUCUCUGUGGGUAGAAUUUCUGUAUUUAGACUCUAGAUUCCAUUAAGCUUGGUAGCCACCUUUUGGGUGCCUACAUGCUGAGAGUGACAGGAUAAAUAGAAUUAUUCUGGAUUAUGGUCUAAAAUAUAUGAUUGCAGCAGAGGCUUUACUAACAUGGAAAAUUUAUGCAAGGUAUAUCCAUGAUAUUAAAACCUACAGCGUUAAUUUAACAGAUCAAUUCACUUUAGUAUUCCAAAAUAAAUGUGAAUAUGUAGGUAACUUCUUGGCAAUAUUCUAAAAAAAAAAAAUAUCGCACCUUGCUUGCCUUUUGAUAGUACUCAGUUUCUGAACUGCGUACAUUUAAAUCAGAAUCUGUUCACUGCUAGAAAAUACACUGCAACUGACAUGCUCUGUACCACAUUUUGGAGGGGGUUGGUGGUUUGUGUUUGAAUUCCACUUUCAAAAUACCAUUUUAAAAAAAUGUGCAGAGUUUUUUUCAUGAUCUGUUACAGAAAACUGCACAAAUAGUUUUAGAAGACACCAUGACAAGGAACUGUUUCCUGAGCACCCCACCCCUUUUGCAAAAGCUUGCAUCUUGUGACAGGCUUGCAAAGCUUACAGAAUCUGUAUGUACCAUUUCAUGCUUAGCAUACUGUGUUUUAAUGACAUUUUUCACAGAGUGGGUCAGAGCAGCUAAAACAGUAGUGUGAUUUUAAUUGUUCAGUCACAAUAAUAUUAUUUCUUGUAAGAUGAAAGACCCUUGCUGUUACGACCCUUUCUUUUUCUUGGGUAGUUUUGGUCUUUAAGCCUUUUAUUCUUGCCCCCUCUUGGUAGAUUGCUGCCACCAGGAAUUAAAUUCCAGAAUAACUUAAAUUUCUCCUUUUAGUAACGUGCCCAAGGGUCAGGUUUUUCGUGGUAUUAUGUGUCCCUGAGGAAAGGAAUGGGAUAUAGGAAUAACUCUGAGAUUUUAAAAAAAUAUAUUUUUAUAAGAAGCGUAUCAGUUUCAUAUUAUUUCUAAAACUUGAUGGUUUCAAAAGAGUAGUUCUCAAUUCUUAAAGUUAUUUUACUUAAACCCAGUCACACAGAUCUUCUCUCAGGCUUCACACACAGUUUGCCUGCUUUUGAUAUUAAUUUCUCUCUCAGUUACAAGUAAGACCUUUUCUCUGCUUUUCCCUGUCUGAAUGUUCUUUCACAAACACACAGUUCAGCCUUCCACACAGGUUAUAUUUCUCUUAGACAACAUAAACAAGCUCAGGCUGCACACAGCUUGCCUGCUUUCUCCUGACUAAAUAUUUCUCUCAGAACUGCUUAAAAAUACUCAGCUGCACACAGCUUGCCAGCUAAAACCAGACUCAAUAUUUUUCUCAGAAAUACUUAACCAUGCUAAGGCUGCACACAGCUCGCCUCUCUUGCCCUGACUGAAUCUUUUUCUCUCCCUCAGUAACUUAAAAACUUCAUUCACUCCACCCACACUCUUAGUCAUCAACCAAUCAUAUCACUCACUCAUCCCUGUCUUUCACCCCCACUCUUCAUCUAUACCAUACCAAGCAUUUAAAGACAUAAUUUACUUAAAAUCAUUACAUUUGCAUUAUACAUACCAACUUAACAAAUGUAAGGAAUGAGCUAUAUGUAGCAUUAGUUAAUGGAGCCAUGUAUCUGAUAGGGAUAUUGCAGGAAGACUGUUCUUUUCUGCAGCUCUAGCAAAAUGCCUUUCAGUGGGCAAGGGCUAUAUGUGGAAGCAAGACAAAGGUAUUUCUGUAAUUCUUGGGUUGUGUGUGCACUGAGAGAACACAGUAUACUCUCAUGAGGUUUUUGUCAGUGAAGCAUUCUCAAGGGGUAGUAUCCUUACUACAACAUUGUUCCUAACGUCAGCACUUAAUCCAUUGUCAUAGGAAUGAAUGAUAGUUACUAAUUUAUGUGGGAGAAAGCAGAGUGAUUCAUUCAAAGACACCGCUUAGGACAGGGUCUCAGUGACCCUGGACAAAAAGAACCUAGCCUGAGCAUUUAUAUGUGCAUAUAUUGUGAAAUACCCCUUCAUAUAACUAGGAUAGUUCAUAAGUCUGAACACUAAUUUUUAACUAAAAUAACUUUAAAUUGCUUCAAGAAUUGUUCAAAUAUGUACCUAUGGAUUGGACAGUCAUACCUUAAGUAACAUAACACCUCUUUUUAAAAAAAAGAAUUAAGCAUUAAAUUAAGAAUUAAGAAUUUUUUAAAAAGAAUUAUGCAUGUGCAUAUUGAACUAACAGCUUCAUAGAAUUGUUUUGAGAACUGCAUCCUCAUUUCACCACUGUUUAUGAAGUAGUACAACUCUGACUUUGCAAGAGAAUUGAGAACUUAAGAGCUGAUGUAAAAAUGAUUUCUUGAAUAAUGCAUCUGAAGUUUAUUUGGAAGGUAUGUUGCUGGCUAAAAGUGGCCAUUAUGUGUAAGUAUUCGUUUUAAAGCUGCUUAAUUUCCAGUGACUUCUAAAGUGCAAUGGUUAUGUGCUGCUUUAAAAAUGGUAAGUUUGUAGAGUACUGUAUAAUAUAUCUGCCACUGUGGUCCAACAGUCGAGGUACUUGGUUCUGAAAUAAUGAGACCUGGACAGUUAUUCAGUGUGUUUCAUGGAAGUUGGAGUUCUCAGGGCUACUUUAUAUGGGAGUAUUUCCUCUUUGUAUGAGUCAUUUCUGUAUAGAGUGCUAUGUAAACAGCAUCAUAUUUCAGUACACAUGUUUACUUGCAUGUAUAUGUCACAAAAUCUUCAAGUAAACUUAGGUUGUACAUGCUGUUUUUCCUACAAGGAAGCGAAACUACUUAAGGAAUAGUUACAUAUAAGGCAGUCAUUGGCUAUGCAAAGACCCUGAAGGGAUUCAAGAUGCCCUUUACAACAAGGUAUUCUCAACUAUGUGAAUUAGUUGGUGUUAUUAAGGCUAUGUUUUCCCCCCUACUACUCUUCAUCCCAUAACAGGCGCACAAAAAAGUAGUGAAGUCGAAACCCCAAGAGAACUUUUAAAAAAAUCACAGCAUGGUGAUCAGUAGGGAUCAAUGAACUGAAUGAAAGUUGCUCUUCCUUUGGUCAAGAUGUUUUAUCAGAGAGAAGAAUUUUCAUGAAUGAACCUUCAGACAUGUUUGGAAAACAUGUAUACAAUAGUGUACCUCUGAUCCAGUGGAAGGGGCUUUGCCUCUAUUGAAAUGAACAGGGGUACCAUGUGCAUGCAGAACUCUGCAUGUAUAAGGAUACAUACUAAAAUGCAUGCAGUGUUCAUUCUUACACUGGUUUACCCUGAGAAUCUCACUCAAGAUUUAAAAGUACAGAUUAUAAAGUUAGAAGGUAAUUUGUAGUGCAAUCCUGAACAGAUUUAAACCCUUCUAAGUCCAUUAACUUUAGUGGAUUUAAAAGAUUUCAUUCUAUUGUUGAUGUGAGAUCUGGUACUUGUAGAAGAAUAUAUUGUCCAAUGAUAAUAUUUUCAUUAUCCUCUUAAGCUGUAUGUUAUCUAAUAAUGUGCUGGUGUAUAUUGCAUGCUUUGUAUAAUAGUUUAGAUCUACUGAAAAGGAAUACAAUGUUUUUGUGUAGAAUAUGCUGUAAAUAUUAUAUACUAUUUUUAAUUUUAUAAAAGCAGCUUUUUUAAUUUCUCAAAAUAUGUACAAACUUCACUGUAAAUAAC